AUUGAACGCUGGCGGUAGGCUUAACACAUGCAAGUCGAGCGGUAACAUUUCUAGCUUGCUAGAAGAUGACGAGCGGCGGACGGGUGAGUAACGCGUAGGAAUCUACCUAAUAGUUGGGGAUAGCCCGGGGAAACUCGGAUUAAUACCGAAUACGCUCUACGGAGGAAAGGAGGGGAUCUUUUGACCUUUCGCUAUUAGAUGAGCCUGCGUGAGAUUAGCUAGUUGGUGAGGUAAAGGCUCACCAAGGCAACGAUCUCUAGCUGGUCUGAGAGGAUGAUCAGCCACACUGGGACUGAGACACGGCCCAGACUCCUACGGGAGGCAGCAGUGGGGAAUAUUGCACAAUGGGGGAAACCCUGAUGCAGCCAUACCGCGUGUGUGAAGAAGGCUUUCGGGUCGUAAAGCACUUUCAGCAGUGAGGAAAAGUAAAUAGUUAAUACCUAUUUACCCUGACGUUAACUGCAAAAGAAGCACCGGCUAACUCCGUGCCAGCAGCCGCGGUAAUACGGAGGGUGCAAGCGUUAAUCGGAAUUACUGGGCGUAAAGCGCGCGUAGGUGGUUUGGUCAGUCAGAUGUGAAAGCCCCGGGCUCAACCUGGGAACUGCAUCUGAUACUGCCAGACUUGAGUACAGUAGAGGGGUGUGGAAUUUCCUGUGUAGCGGUGAAAUGCGUAGAUAUAGGAAGGAACACCAGUGGCGAAGGCGACACCCUGGACUGAUACUGACACUGAGGUGCGAAAGCGUGGGUAGCAAACAGGAUUAGAUACCCUGGUAGUCCACGCCGUAAACGAUGUCUACUAGCCGUUGGAGGACUUGAUCUUUUAGUGGCGAAGCUAACGCGAUAAGUAGACCGCCUGGGGAGUACGGCCGCAAGGUUAAAACUCAAAUGAAUUGACGGGGGCCCGCACAAGCGGUGGAGCAUGUGGUUUAAUUCGACGCAACGCGAAGAACCUUACCUACUCUUGACAUCCAGAGAAUUCGCUAGAGAUAGCUUAGUGCCUUCGGGAACUCUGAGACAGGUGCUGCAUGGCUGUCGUCAGCUCGUGUUGUGAAAUGUUGGGUUAAGUCCCGUAACGAGCGCAACCCUUGUCCUUAUUUGCCAGCACGUAAUGGUGGGAACUCUAAGGAGACUGCCGGUGACAAACCGGAGGAAGGUGGGGACGACGUCAAGUCAUCAUGGCCCUUACGAGUAGGGCUACACACGUGCUACAAUGGCCGGUACAGAGGGCUGCAAACCUGCGAAGGUAAGCUAAUCUCACAAAACCGGUCGUAGUCCGGAUUGGAGUCUGCAACUCGACUCCAUGAAGUCGGAAUCGCUAGUAAUCGUGGAUCAGAAUGCCACGGUGAAUACGUUCCCGGGCCU
rnacentral:rRNA from 1 species